rnacentral:rRNA from 1 species
GACGAACGCUGGCGGCGUGCUUAACACAUGCAAGUCGAACGGUGAACGAGGGAGCUUGCUCCCUCCGGAUCAGUGGCGAACGGGUGAGUAACACGUGAGCAAUCUGCCCCGAACUCUGGGAUAAGCGUUGGAAACGACGUCUAAGACCGGAUACGACGCGGGAGGGCAUCCUCUCCGCGUGGAAAGAACUUCGGUUCGGGAUGAGCUCGCGGCCUAUCAGGUUGUUGGUGAGGUAUCGGCUGACCAAGGCGACGACGGGUGGCCGGCCUGAGCGGGUGACCGGACACACUGGGACUGAGACACGGCCCAGACUCCUACGGGAGGCAGAAGUGGGGAAUAUUGCACAAAGGGCGCAAGCCUGAUGCAGCAACGCCGCGUGAGGGACGACGGCCUUCGGGUUGUAAACCUCUUUUAGCAGGGAAGAAGCGAAAGUGACGGUACCUGCAGAAAAAGCACCGGCUAACUACGUG